ACAGAGGGGGCAAGCGUUGCUCGGAAUCACUGGGCGUAAAGGGCGCGUAGGCGGGAUGGCAAGUCAGUCGUGAAAUCUCUCGGCUCAACCGAGAAACGUCGGCUGAUACUGCCGUUCUUGAGGGAUGCAGAGGAGACUGGAAUUCCCGGUGUAGCGGUGAAAUGUGUAGAGAUCGGGAGGAACAUCAGUGGCGAAGGCGGCCUGCUGGGCUGUUGCUGACGCUGAGGCGCGACAGCGUGGGGAGCAAACAGGA
rnacentral:rRNA from 1 species